rnacentral:rRNA from 1 species
AACAAACGCUGGCGGCGUGCCUAAUACAUGCAAGUCGAACGGGGUAGCAAUACCUAGUGGCGCACGGGUGAGGAACGCGUGGAUAAUCUGCCUUAGAGUAGGGGAUAACUAGUCGAAAGAUUAGCUAAUACCGCAUAAGACCACAGGAGCUGCGGCUCUAGGGGUCAAAGGUUUUUCGCUCUAAGAUGAGUCCGCGUAAGAUUAGCUAGUUGGUGAGGUAACGGCUCACCAAGGCGACGAUCUUUAACUGGUCUGAGAGGAUGAUCAGUCACACUGGAACAGAGACACGGUCCAGACUCCUACGGGAGGCAGCAGUAGGGAAUAUUGCACAAUGGAGGAAACUCUGAUACAGCGACGCCGCGUGAGUGAUGAAGGCCUUCGGGUCGUAAAGCUCUGUCGCAGGGGAAUAACACAAUGAAUGUACCCUGUAAGAAAGGAUCGGCUAACUUCGUGCCAGCCGCCGCAGUAACAC